rnacentral:lncRNA from 1 species
AUUGGAAAAGUUAAUUUUGGUUGCAGCUCUUGACAUUACCAUUCAGGCAAAGUUCAGAGGUCAUGCUCAAUGCAUGCUGGGAUACAGUAUGUAUGUCUUCCAUUGUAAGUUGUGUUAAAUCUUUAAGUCAAAUAUAAAUGUAGUUUAUUUAAGUCUUUAAAAACACUUAUCACGCAGGCCUAAUAAUUAAUGUUUAAAAUUGGAAUUGUGGUACCUUUUGCACUGGUGAAAUGUUCACAGUUGUUAGUCAGAUGAAAGAUCUCAAUGUACGCAGUAUAAUGACACAAUCUGACUAUGUAUUCAUGUUAUUGAACACUGGGCAGGGCUUUCUUUUGGGAAAAUCUAAUCAACCAAGAAACACAUAAAGAAGAUAAGUUAGAAAAUAUAAAUGAUAUCAAUUACCUACAACCUUUGUAUUGGAACACCAAUGAUAAUCACUGGAUCAAAGCACUUUGCAUCACAUUCAUACACCCACAGUCCAACGGAGGCAUGCAUGGACUGGAACAGCAUUAGUAAAGACGAAUAGAAGUCUAGGUGUGUCCAUUUACACCCCAUAUCCCUCAGGAUGGUUAGUAAAGACGAAUAGAAGUCUAGGUGUGUCCAUUUACACCCCAUAUCCCUCAGGAUGGUUCGUAAAGACGAAUAGAAGUCUAGGUGUGUCCAUUUACACCCCAUAUCCCUCAGGAUGGUUAGUAAAGACGAAUAGAAGUCUAGGUGUGUCCAUUUACACCCCAUAUCCCCCAGGAUGGUUAUAAAGAUGAAUAGAAGUCUA